rnacentral:lncRNA from 1 species
AGCAGAUGAAGGAGGGGCCAGGCAGGUCUCCAAGUGGAGAGGAUGCGCUUGUCUGUUUCCUGCCAUGUCCUCAAGGCUAGACCUCAGGAACGCAUACUGUUGUUUGCCGAUCACGGGCCUGGAAGAAGACGUUUGCAUGUUUGGGGCCUGCUAAGUUUUCUGUGGGUGAGAUCAUCUCCUACAUAUUGAUUGGACCAGAGAAUGUUUACGAUACAGUCAAUGCCAUUUUAAAGGAAGAUCAAGGGAUCAAGGCCAAGUCCAAAAAUUUUACAACAAGAUGAAUAAUUUCUUCCAUUUAAAAUCCUAUGUUUCCAUAGGUCUAAUUUUCUGAAAUAUAAUUUACACCAUUACAAUAGGAAGAAAAU